GGAAUCUUAGACAAUGGGCGCAAGCCUGAUCUAGCCAUGCCGCGUGUGUGAUGCAGGUCUUAGGAUCGUAAAGCACUUUCGCCAGGGAUGAUAAUGACAGUACCUGGUAAAGAAACCCCGGCUAACUCCGUGCCAGCAGCCGCGGUCAUACGGAGGGGGUUAGCGUUGUUCGGAAUUACUGGGCGUAAAGCGUACGUAGGCGGAUCAGAAAGUAUAGGGUGAAAUCCCAGGGCUCAACCCUGGAACUGCCUUAUAAACUCCUGGUCUUGAGUUCGAAAGAGGUGAGUGGAAUUCCAAGUGUAGAGGUGAAAUUCGUAGAUAUUUGGAGGAACACCAGUGGCGAAGGCGGCUCACUGGCUCGAUACUGACGCUGAGGUACGAAAGUGUGGGGAGCAAAC
rnacentral:rRNA from 1 species